rnacentral:piRNA from 1 species
UGAGGAAAUUUGGCCUCUGUAUGCACGAU